ensembl:snRNA U6 U6 spliceosomal RNA
GUGCUUGCUUCAGCGGCACAUAUAUUAAAAUUGGAACGAUACAGAGAAGAUUAGCAUGGCCCCUGCUCCAGGAUGACAUGCACAUUUGUGAAGCGUUCCAUAUUUUU